rnacentral:rRNA from 1 species
UACGUAGGGGGCAAGCGUUGUCCGGAAUCAUUGGGCGUAAAGCGCGUGUAGGCGGCCUGGUAAGUCCGCUGUGAAAGUCGGGGGCUCAACCCUCGAAUGCCGGUGGAUACUGUCGGGCUAGAGUGCGGAAGAGGCGAGUGGAAUUCCUGGUGUAGCGGUGGAAUGCGCAGAUAUCAGGAGGAACACCAAUAGCGAAGGCAGCUCGCUGGGACGGUACUGACGCUGAGGCGCGAAAGCGUGGGGAGCGAACAGG